AGAAUCUCCUCCAGCUUCUGCUCUCGCGGCAGAAAGAAGAGUCGUGCGGGGCUGACAGGCCUUCCGAGCUCCCCCGUGUUCCCUGAGCCGGCGAGCGGGCGUCACGGCCGUGAGAGCCCGCCUGCUGCUGUCCGAGCUCCCCGGACCGGCAGCGCGCUCGUUCCGUGGCAUCGGGCUGUCUCGUCCAGCCUUAAUUGAAAAAUGAGGGCGCUCUCUGCCUAUGCUGCUGUCAGGAAGCAGGGCGUGCGUCCGGGGGAAGGCGUGCAGAUGGACGGGAAGAGAAAUGUGCAACGAAGGAGUUAGUACAGAGAAACUGUGAAAAAACACGACAGAAUUUCCGGAUGCCGUUUGUUCUCAGAAAAGUCUUAAUAGUGACGCAUCAGUAUGACUUUCUUUCAGAGGCGCACACCCCAACUGGGGCUGCUGGCAAGGGCUCUGCAAUCAGAAAUUCAGACGCAAAGCUUCUCCACACGACAUUCAUGAAGACGUUUCCUUACAUCUUCUGCUUGAUGAGGGAAAAAUCCUGCCCCACGAAGGCUUCUGAGUAACUGUUGCUGUGCAUGACGUGAGGCAGGGAGCCUGCUUCUUGGCAUCUUGGGGUCACCAGCGGUCCGUCCUUCCUCCCUCGUCCCCACGGCCGGCAGGGUUGGAAGCUGCGCUGCCUGGCGGCGGCGGGGUCCGGUGUCCGCCUGCUGGGCACCCCGCGUCCUGAUUACCGCGCCUGCACAGCAGGUCUCCAUGUCUGCUCUGGGUCAUCCUAAUUAAGCUGUUCCUAUGACAGUUGUAGAAAUACGGGUUUUGACCGCUUCUAACGCAGAAGUAACCCUGCAGUCGUUCCACUGGACCUGGGUUAAAUGUGCUAACGAUUUGUUAGUCCUUCUGCGUUUGUGUAUCUGCGUGGGUUUGUUCGUGUGUAGGUUGGCCUGGCACUUUGUUGUGGUUUUGGUAAUGAGCCCUGUAACGUGAGCUGAAGGAAUGCUCACUCUUCACACAGCCCCGGACGGGUGAGCGAUGCAGUGGUGCAGCAGGUGGUGGAACUCACCUGUGGAACCAUCUGUAUUUUCUUCGUGGGUAGAUCUUGAAAUAUUGAUUCGAGGCAUUUCAUGGUCACAGGCUCAUUCAGUCCGAUUGGGGUCAGUGCGGAUAACUUAUUUUUAGGGAGGAAUUUGUUAUUUCCACAUUUUCUCCAAGUUAUUUGACCUAGAUGUGUUCUAGUACUCUUUGAUAUUUGGACUUUCAUUGUGUAUACGUAGUUAUUUUUUCUCUUAUGCUAUGCAUAUUUGAUUUUCACUUUGUAUUCUUCAGAGACUUGUUAAUUUGAUUAACCUUUUUCAAAAAAACAGAUUCUGGCCUGGUUCACCCUUUCUCCCGUACUUCCACCGUUAACUGUGUUGCACUUCGUUCCUUGUUGUUUCUUCGUUUCGGUGGGUUUAUUCUGCUAUUCUUGCAGUUAAUUAAUCUCCAGCCUUUUUUUCUUUUCUAACAUAACUUCAGGUGAUAAAUUUGCCCUGUAUCAUGACUUCGGCCACAUCUCAAAAUUAUUGAUACCUAGUAUUUUUAUUAAGUAUUUUCUAACGUCCAUUAUGAUUAUCA